AAACUACAAAGGAAGUUGACGGGGCCCGCACAAGCGGUGGAGUAUGUGGUUAAUUCGAUGCAACGCGAAAACCUUACCUGCCCUUGACAUCCUCGGAACUUGUCAGAGAUGACUUGGUGCCUUCGGGAACCGAGAGACAGGUGCUGCAUGGCUGUCGUCAGCUCGUGUCGUGAGAUGUUGGGUUAAGUCCCGCAACGAGCGCAACCCUUGUCAUUAGUUGCUACAUUCAGUUGGGCACUCUAAUGAGACUGCCGGUGACAAGCCGGAGGAAGGUGGGGAUGACGUCAAGUCCUCAUGGCCCUUAUAGGUGGGGCUACACACGUCAUACAAUGGCUGGUACAAAGGGUUGCCAACCCGCGAGGGGGAGCUAAUCCCAUAAAGCCAGUCGUAGUCCGGAUCGUAGUCUGCAACUCGACUACGUGAAGUCGGAAUCGCUAGUAAUCGUGGAUCAGAAUGUCACGGUGAAUACGUUCCCGGGUCUU
rnacentral:rRNA from 1 species